CGGCGAGGGGAGUGAAAAAGAACCUGAAACCGUGUACGUACAAGCAGUGGGAGCACAGGUUUACCUGUGUGACUGCGUACCUUUUGUAUAAUGGGUCAGCGACUUAUAUUCUGUAGCAAGGUUAACCGAAUAGGGGAGCCGGAGGGAAACCGAGUCUUAAUUGGGCGUUAAGUUGCAGGGUAUAGACCCGAAACCCGGUGAUCUAGCCAUGGGCAGGUUGAAGGUUGGGUAACACUAACUGGAGGACCGAACCGACUAAUGUUGAAAAAUUAGCGGAUGACCUGUGGCUGGGGGUGAAAGGCCAAUCAAACCGGGAGAUAGCUGGUUCUCCCCGAAAGCUAUUUAGGUAGCGCCUCGUGAAUUCAUCUCCGGGGGUAGAGCACUGUUUCGGCUAGGGGGCCAUCCCGGCUUACCAACCCGAUGCAAACUGCGAAUACCGGAGAAUGUUAUCACGGGAGACACACGGCGGGUGCUAACGUCCGUCGUGAAGAGGGAAACAACCCAGACCGCCAGCUAAGGUCCCAAAGUCAUGGUUAAGUGGGAAACGAUGUGGGAAGGCCCAGACAGCCAGGAUGUUGGCUUAGAAGCAGCCAUCAUUUAAAGAAAGCGUAAUAGCUCACUGGUCGAGUCGGCCUGCGCGGAAGAUGUAACGGGGCUAAACCAUGCACCGAAGCUGCGGCAGCGA
rnacentral:rRNA from 1 species